UUAUAUUAAAUUAUUUAUUAAUAAAACACUAAAAUAUGAAACUAAUAAGAAAUAUAUUUUAAUUCAAACAAAGUAAAUUAAAAGAAAAAAAAUGGCUUUCCUUUUUCUCUCUCCCCUUCUUCCCCGAUUCACUCUCUCUCUCUCUCUCACUUAUCUUCUUCCUCAAAACCCCCGACUACUCCCUCUUUCUCUCCCACUUUCUUUCUCCUUUUCUUCUCUCUUCUCCUACACCUCCCAAAUUCCUCCCUCUCUCUCUCUAUAUAUAUCCCUUAUCUACUUACCCUCGUGGAGGGUCGGGCUUGCGGAGGGUCGUGGAUCGAGGAUGGGGUUAUGGACGGGGUUGGAGGGCUCGGUCUCGCAGAGGGUCGUGGGUGGCUCGGUCUCGCAGAGAGGUCAUGGGUGGCUUGGGCUAGCGGAGAGGUCGUGGGUGAUGAGGAAGAGGUGUGGGUCUAGGCUCGUGGUCUUCCUUGUGCCAGAUGCAGGCUCAUUGGCAGAGAUGGGUAUUGGGAAAACGGUGGGGGCUCGGGGGCCGGUCAUCGGUAAAUGGCGCAAAUGACAGGGGCUCGUGGGUCUUGUGAAAAUGAUGCAAACGACGGGCUCAGGGUCAUGGGUGGCUCGAUCUUGCAGAGGGGGUGGGUGGCUCGGUCUCGCAGAGGGGGUGGGUGGCUCGGUCUCACAGAGGGGUCGUAGGUGGCUCGGUCUCGCAGAGGGGUCUGAGCCCCCUCUUCUUUCUUCUUGAAAUUUUGGUUCAAGUUUUGAUUUUCUCAGACCACAAGACGUUGGGACCUUCUCUAUUCUGCUCAUGGUGGUGGACUAGACUUAAAUUGUUAUCUCUUCUCUUGGUCAGGUGAGUGAGGCAUGACUCAUGCAUGUGAAGGAGUUGUUCAGCUUCUCUUCUCAGUGUUAGUGGCUAAAACUCUACUUGGAUAUUUAAGAGAACCAAGACAAUUAUAUAAGAGAACCAAGGCAACAAGAAAUUCUUCUUCAAGUUGUUAGGUAUUAUUUUCUUUCUUGCUUGUAAGAAUUAUGUACAGUGAGGUUUUUAUUUAUGUAUAUAGUUUUGUUGUGUUCUACCAUUGUAUGUAAUAGAUAGAUUAAUUUCAAUUGUAAAAGUUAGUUUUUUUUUUUUUAAAAAGAAGACAAUUAAAUUGUUAAUAUAAUUAGCUCCUUCUAAAGA